UACGAAGGGGGCUAGCGUUGCUCGGAAUCACUGGGCGUAAAGCGCACGUAGGCGGAUCUUUAAGUCAGGGGUGAAAUCCUGGAGCUCAACUCCAGAACUGCCUUUGAUACUGAGGAUCUUGAGUUCGGGAGAGGUGAGUGGAACUGCGAGUGUAGAGGUGAAAUUCGUAGAUAUUCGCAAGAACACCAGUGGCGAAGGCGGCUCACUGGCCCGAUACUGACGCUGAGGCACGAAAGCGUGGGGAGCAAACAGG
rnacentral:rRNA from 1 species